CCUACGGGUGGCUGCAGUGAGGAAUAUUGGUCAAUGGGCGUAAGCCUGAACCAGCCAAGUCGCGUGAGGGAUGAAGGCUCUAUGGAUCGUAAACCUCUUUUAUAAGGGAAUAAAGUGCGGGACGUGUCCCGUUUUGUAUGUACUUUAUGAAUAAGGAUCGGCUAACUCCGUGCCAGCAGCCGCGGUAAUACGGAGGAUCCGAGCGUUAUCCGGAUUUAUUGGGUUUAAAGGGUGCGUAGGCGGGCUUUUAAGUCAGGUGUGAAAGUCUGUGGCUCAACCGUAGAAUUGCAAUUGAUACUGGGAGUCUUGAGUAUGUUUGAGGGAGGCGGAAUGCGUGGUGUAGCGGUGAAAUGCGUAGAUAUCACGCAGAACCCCGAUUGCGAAGGCAGCCUGUCAAGCCAUUACUGACGCUGAUGCACGAAAGCGUGGGGAUCAAACAGGAUUAGAUACCCCAGUAGUC
rnacentral:rRNA from 1 species